rnacentral:rRNA from 1 species
CUAGCCGUAAACGAUGGGUACUAGGUGUAGGUGGUUUCGAUACCAUCUGUGCCGGAGUUAACGCAAUAAGUACCCCGCCUGGGGAGUACGUGCGCAAGCAUGAAACUCAAAGGAAUUGACGGGGGCCCGCACAAGCAGUGGAGUAUGUGGUUUAAUUCGAAGCAACGCGAAGAACCUUACCAGGGCUUGACAUCCUCGGACGACACUAGAGAUAGUGUUUUCUCUUCGGAGACUGAGAGACAGGUGG